ensembl:lncRNA
UUUUUCUAAUUUAACUGUAAAGAACUUUAACAUUUAUCAUGCAAACUGAGGACAGUAGAGUGUAUGUAGCUCUGUGGUUUUUUCCAGUUUCUCUGACCAAGAGGUGAAUUUGUCGGCACGUCCACAGCCUGAAUGCUCAUGACCAGCAAACUGCAGUAGAGGUGCUCACACUGCUGAUGAGUUAGUGAAGUGCAAUUAAUUAGCAGCCACCUACCCUCUUAAUUCCUGUGGAAAGCAGGUAACUCAUGAGGGUGUAUUCAGUUUUUCACAUUGAUUUUGCAUUUCAGUUGUUUACCUGUGUGUGACAGCUGGUAUUGAAGGAAAACAGAGGAGGUGCCUUAAUUAGAAGUUUUGUGCAUAUAUUCAAGCAACUACAGGGGGUUACAGAUGUGUUUUGUGAGUCGGGAUCAGGUGUGCAGGUGGAGGAACACUAACCUGUGCACCUUUGGAAGUGAAGGUGCCAAGGGCGUAGAUUGAUUUACCAGAGCAGCAGUGAUCCACUAGCUGUUCCAGGCAUGGGGUAUUGUUUUGAUUUGUUGGGUUUUUUUUGAGUGGUCCAUCCUGGCAAGUGAGCCUGUAUGGACAAUGGUUGCUUCCUUUGGGAUGGACCGGGCAUUUUUUUUUGUUGUUCUUUUUGUCUUUUUUGUUUGUCUGUCCAUUUCUUGAAUAUAUGCUUGCUUCCUUGUUACAAAUCCUAUUGAUUUUAUUCAGCCUGGUCUCUGUUUUUCAUGGGCUACAGUAAAACUAAUUAGGUGUGGAACUCAUUAAUGGUGUCUGAUCACUUAGUGUGCUUUUGAUUGGUUGCAGUGAAAUGGUCAUUGGUCUGUUGUUGAGAUUGGGGAGCGACUGACUGUGAAAAAAAGAUUUGUUUUCCUUAAUUUUCAUUGAAAAAAGUUUUUUGUUAUUGCUAGUAACCUGCUGUGGGUUUAACAUGAGGUUGUAUAUACCCAAUUUUAAGACCUGCUAAGGACCAGAUUCUUUUUUAUGAUAUGUAUGUUCUUUUUCCCCAUUUGUGUCUGAGUAUUAAAACAACCCAUUAUGCCAAAAUCAACAUGUCACUGGAUAGGUGUAGUCUAAGUGCAGUCAGAUCAUGGACAAUAUGUGCAGGAAAGUCUAGGUAACACGAUAUCAUGAUGUCCAAAUUUUAUCAGAGAUCAGAUUUGUCAACCUUAUGGUGCUACAAAAUAUUUGGGAGAACUCAGAAGCUAAAAGAACAAUUCAUGCAAAAGUACUUAGUAAUUAUAUAAAGCAGGGGAUAAUGUACAACAGUGUGGUAGAUAAUCCCAGCACCUUGAUUAAUGUCUGUACAAAAUGCUAUGACAGUCCAUCUAAUAGAUUAUAGAUUCUUCACUCGCCAUUUAAAACUCUGACCUGCUGGUGGCGCAACAGAAAGC